rnacentral:rRNA from 1 species
GACGAACGCUGGCGGCGUGCCUAAUACAUGCAAGUCGAACGCAGUGGGGACGGGGGAGUAACACGUGGGUAACCUGCCAUCAGAGGGGAUAACACUUGGAAACAGGUGCUAAACCGAUACUGCUGGAUGGAGCCGCGGUGGAUUAGGUCGUUGGUGAGGUAACGGCUCACCAAGGCCACGAUGCAUAGCCGACCUGAGAGGGUGAUCGGCCACACUGGGCAUGAGCCACGGCCCGGACUCCUACGGUAGGAAGCAGUAGGGAAUAUUCGGCAAUGGACGCAACUCUGACCGAGCCACGCCGCGUGAGUGAAGAAGGUCUUCGGAUCGUAAAGCUCUGUUGUUAGUGAAGCGGUAUCUAAACAGAAAGCAACGGCUAACUCCGUGCCAGCAGCCGCGGUAAUAC